GGGGUAGAUUGUAUAAUGGCAUACUGCCAGCCUUCCAAGCUGGAUUUAGCGGGUUCGAUCCCCGUCUGCCUCAC
rnacentral:tRNA from 2 species